rnacentral:rRNA from 1 species
UACAGAGGGGGCAAGCGUUGUUCGGAAUUACUGGGCGUAAAGGGCGCGUAGGCGGCCUUCUAAGUCGAACGUGAAAUCCCCGGGCUCAACCCGGGAACUGCGUCCGAGACUGGAAGGCUUGAAUCCGGGAGAGGGAUGUGGAAUUCCAGGUGUAGCGGUGAAAUGCGUAGAUAUCUGGAGGAAUACCGGUGGCGAAGGCGGCAUCCUGGACCGACAUUGACGCUGAGGAGCGAAAGCUAGGGGAGCAAACGGG